UUAUAGCUAUCGAAACUACACGGUUUCUGGGUGUUUUCCAUGCUAUCACUUAACAGACAUUUCUUCAAUUUGAUUUCUUUGUAGAAUUAAAGUGAUGUUUUAAUAGAGAUAGAUUAAAGAGAUAAGGACCCUUGUCCCAAACGACUAUCAUAUCUUUUGCUAUUAUCAUACAAUGGAUUCUUUUUUGGGGGGUUCUGUAAUUUCAGGUAGAUAAUAUUAUAUUAAAGGAGAUAACACUUUAGAGAUGUGAUUGAGUCUUCAGCUAAAAAAAUCAUAUAUCAAGUCUGACUCACACUACAGUGGGGAGAAGAAGCAGGAUUUGAACCCAGGUCUGCCAUACUUUAUAGCCUGUGUUGUAGCUGUGUUAUAUUACUUCUCUUUAAAGAAGAUUACCAGCGAAUCACAUGCUAAGCAGUUCGUUUCUUACACAGAUGGAGCAGCCAUGCGUGCUGGAGUACAAACAGGUGAUCGAAUCAUCAAGGUAAAGCAGUCGGUGUCGUGGGAGUCCUGUGGGCUGCAGCGCCUGCCUCGGCUGUAGGCCUCUUUCCACCUGGUUCUUUAGAAAAAGCAGCUCCCUGCCUUUCAUACAAGCUUUCUCCAUUUGUUUCAAAGUUCACAUUAACCCUUACUGAAAGGCACAAUAAAGGCUUGUUUAAAUGGAGUCACCUUUGUUCUUGAGUAGGAAAGAAACUCAUUUUUAAAAACUCAUUUCUGCAUAAAUUAACGUAUUAGCAAGGAGCAGUCACACAGCUAGGACUGUGCUGGUGAGUUGUCACUUGCAGGUUGAUUAUUGUUGCAGAUGAACUUUUAAAGAAGCUGAUACAGAGUCCCUAGUAUUUGUCAGGCUCCGAGUUUGAUAUCCAUUACCAGGAAAACAACAAAGAGUAAAAAACCAAACGACAAGUAGCUGAGGAAAGAAGUGUUGUGUGUGAGGGGAGGUGACGGAGGUUAGUUUUAACUGAGUUAAACUGAGUUAGUUUCAGUGGAGACCAGAAACAGGCCUUGAGGACUUGGGGUUUGAGAUAAGGUUUCAUGUACCCCAGGCUGGGCAGAAAUUUCUGAUUUUCCUGCCUACAAAGUAUUGGUAUUACAGGUGCUCAUCACCAUGUGCAAUUUGGAUGGUCCUGGGGAGCAAGCCCUGGGCUUCAUGCCUGAUAGCCAAGCGCUCUCCCACUGAGCUCCUUCUCCAGCCCAAGCCCUGUGAACUCUGAUUGUUAGAAGGAGUACAUUUCCCAGGAAUUUCUGUUGAAACUGUUGAAUAAUUUGAUUACCUAAAAGUAAUUAUAUAGGUAAAGAGAAUAUUCUUGAAAGUAUUUAAAAGAAUUAAGAGCAUGAUACUCUUUAUUGUAAAGAACACUGUGUGUGUGUGGUAUAUACAUACAGGUCUGUAUGUUGCAGGUAUGUAUAUAUGUACAUGCGUGAAGACCAAAGGCGUUCUCUAUCAGUGCCUGCCCCAUUAUCUGACCAAAUCUCUCACUUGCUGUCCACUGUGCCCCUACCCUCUCCGCUAGGCUUGCAGUCAUGAAGCCCCAGCAAUCCUCCUUUUUUACCUCCUGUCCUCCUCUCUGAACUCCUCCAAACUAUACCUGGUGCCAGGACACAGGCCUGGGAAGCCACGCCAGGCUUUUCUUCAUUGAUGGCGGAUCAAGACUUGUGCAGCAAGCACUCUUACCCACUGUGCCAUCUUCCCAGCCCAAGAGCACUGUUUAGUUAC
rnacentral:lncRNA from 1 species